GGGUCAGUAGGUUGGUCGUGCCACCGGUACGUACUGGUCUCACUGAUUCCUCCUUCCUGAAGAACCGUAAUGCCAUUAAUUUGGUGUUGCGGGGGAACAGGACUGUUACUUUGAAAAAAUUAGAGUGUUUAAAGCAAGCUAACGCUUGAAUACAUUAGCAUGGGAUAAUGAAAUAGGACGAUCGAUCCUAUUUUGUUGGUUUCUAGGAUUGACGUA
rnacentral:rRNA from 1 species